GCCAUGCAUGGACCCAACAACAUGAACUCACAAGGCCAAACUAACUACUUCUGCUAGCAAAAAAGACCAAUGCUGAAUUCCCAAUGGAUUAUUAGAUGUAUGGGUCUGGAACCUAGGAAAGAAGGGUAGGUUGGUGGUACACUUUUGGAGAUCUGCUGUGGUCUUGUAGCCUGCUCCAAUAUUGCGUGCUGCUACAGAAAGAGAACAAUGAAUAUUUGGAGAUGUCAUUGCCUUCCCUGGACAGCCUGACUUUUGGAGAUUUUUAUUCUCGAAGAUAAGAUGCCUGGAGCGUCUGCAUCCAUCUUGUGACCAUGUGGAGAUAAAUAUAAGGAUAAAAAGUCCCUAAGGAUGGCAGAGCAGAAGCAGAAAGAUCCUGGUCCCUGAGAACUCUGUUGAGCUGCUGACACAACCCUGAAAGUUCCUGCUUCUGGAUUUCUUGUUAAGAACAAUAAAUGUCUAUAUGUUUUG